rnacentral:lncRNA from 1 species
UUUAAUUAAAUCAUACAUAUUAAUAAUAUAUCAUUUUUGAAAAUUGAAUAAUUUUUUUAGAUGAAUUGUCAUGUUACAUUUUCAAAUCAAUAUAUCAUCAUGUCAUAAUUUUUCAUAUAAGCUAUCUAAUAGAAAAAUUAGCAAUGAAAGAUUUCAAUCAAGUCCCAGAAUUAUUAAUCGCUUUUCUGAGUUUUAUGUCGCUUUCUAUCUUUGUCAUAUACUAAAUUACGGAGUUAAGUUCAAAUUUCCGCUACGGUGGUCUUCAGCAGGACGGUUGAAUGGAAAUGUACUACACUCUCAUCCUGAUCAGCCUGUUGAACGCCGCCAUGGAUUGCAUGCGUUGGGCACCGAAAUGCACUGACGAUUAGUAACCGAUUGGAAAGUGGUGUAAAACAAAAAUAUAAUGGUAUCUAGAGUUAUUGAAAUUCGGUUGUUUUCAAAAACUCAAGCUGACGAGUUGAUAUUAAGAAAAAAAAUUGAGAAAGCUCGAGUACCCGAACUUUUCGUCUAAGGCGGCCGGAUGGCCGAGUGGUAACUCUUGAAAAGUUUUUUCGGGGUACUGGGCCUGGUCCGGCAAUCCCGUUCUUCACCAUCCACAAGUAUGGGUGCAGCCCGUGGUUGGAACUGGCUCCGCCCUUUUAUAAUCUCCCUUAUUGGAAAGGGGCGUAAAAUAUCCAAAAAAAAAGAAUAAUAAUAAUAAAAUAAAAGUGCC